rnacentral:rRNA from 3 species
UUGGAUAACCGUGGUAAUUCUAGAGCUAAUACAUGCUGAAAACCCCAACUUCGGGAGGGGUGUAUUUAUUAGAUAAAAAACCAACGCCCUUCGGGGCUUCUUGGUGAUUCAUGAUAACUUUACGGAUCGCAUGGCCUUGCGCCGGCGACGGUUCAUUCAAAUUUCUGCCCUAUCAACUUUCGAUGGUAAGGUAUUGGCUUACCAUGGUUUCAACGGGUAACGGGGAAUUAGGGUUCGAUUCCGGAGAGGGAGCCUGAGAAACGGCUACCACAUCCAAGGAAGGCAGCAGGCGCGCAAAUUACCCAAUCCCGACACGGGGAGGUAGUGACAAUAAAUACUGAUACAGGGCUCUUUUGGGUCUUGUAAUUGGAAUGAGUACAAUUUAAACCUCUUAACGAGGAACAAUUGGAGGGCAAGUCUGGUGCCAGCAGCCGCGGUAAUUCCAGCUCCAAUAGCGUAUAUUAAAGUUGUUGCAGUUAAAAAGCUCGUAGUUGAAACUUGGGUCUGGCUGGCAGGUCCGCCUCACCGCGUGUACUUGUCCGGCCGGGCCUUCCUUCUGGAGAACCUCAUGCCCUUCACUGGGCGUGUUGGGGACCAGGACUUUUACUUUGAAAAAAUUAGAGUGUUCAAAGCAGGCCUUUGCUCGAAUACGUUAGCAUGGAAUAAUAGAAUAGGACGUGCGGUCCUAUUUUGUUGGUUUCUAGGACCGCCGUAAUGAUUAAUAGGGACAGUCGGGGGCAUCAGUAUUCAAUUGUCAGAGGUGAAAUUCUUGGAUUUAUUGAAGACUAACUACUGCGAAAGCAUUUGCCAAGGAUGUUUUCAUUAAUCAGUGAACGAAAGUUAGGGGAUCGAAGACGAUCAGAUACCGUCGUAGUCUUAACCGUAAACUAUGCCGACUAGGGAUCGGGCGAUGUUCUUUUUCUGACUCGCUCGGCACCUUACGAGAAAUCAAA